rnacentral:rRNA from 1 species
GUAGACCCGAAACCAGGUGAUCUACCCAUGUCCAGGAUGAAGGUAAGGUAAUACUUACUGGAGGUCCGAACCCACGCACGUUGAAAAGUGCGGGGAUGAGGUGUGGGUAGCGGAGAAAUUCCAAUCGAACUUGGAGAUAGCUGGUUCUCUCCGAAAUAGCUUUAGGGCUAGCCUCGAGGUAAAGAGUCAUGGAGGUAGAGCACUGUUUGGACUAGGGGCCCUUCUCGGGUUACCGAAUUCAGAUAAACUCCGAAUGCCAUGUACUUAUACUCGGGAGUCAGACUGCGAGUGAUAAGAUCCGUAGUCGAAAGGGAAACAGCCCAGACCACCAGUUAAGGUCCCCAAAUAUAUGUUAAGUGGAAAAGGAUGUGGGGUUGCUUAGACAACCAGGAUGUUGGCUUAGAAGCAGCCACCAUUGAAAGAGUGCGUAAUAGCUCACUGGUCGAGUGACCCCGCGCCGAAAAUGUACCGGGGCUAAACAUAUUA